CAUUGGGCAGUGGAAUGCAUGGGAGCUUUGGCUACACCUUGUGAAGAUACUCAUGGAAAGGAUUUUCCAGAACUGCUGCAGAAAGUGCCAAGAAGGGUGGGGCACACAACCUGCACUGUAAUCGGCUGAUUAAGCCCUAACCAGUAGGCUGUGAGGGGAAGUUGUACGUGUUGCUGGGCUGAGGCUUCUAAGCAGUGUCGCCCUCUGGGUCUGCAGGCGGAACACAGAAGACUGGAGCCAGGGGCGCAUAGGAGAAGCUCGGGGGUUCUGAGACCUGGGUGGCCUGUGCACCAACCUCACUACCUUUUGGACUUCAAGGGUGCAAGCGCUGAUGAAAAUUCUAGACUGAAAUGAUACUGUAUGAAGUCUGGACCAACUGCCAUGUUCAAGUGGAAUGGAUUUCCUCUCUUUUCGCUGUCUGGAUCAAUUUUUGGAGGCGUUAGGGAGCUUGGGCUCUCGGUUGAAGAAACACAUUGUACUGAUAACAUGUGAAAGUACAGUCUGAUUGGACUUGCCAGGCUUUCCAACUUACCGCUAAUGUGAGCAUUAAGAGGGCUUUUGCAAAAUAAAUAGAGCUUGCUGAGGUUAGUUAAGAAAGGUUCCAGAUUCCAUUCAGCAAAAGUGGAAUGUUUAAUACUUUACUAUAAAAAAUAAAAUAAAAAUAAAAAACCUCCUUGGAAUUCUGAGUCCCACCUGUUAAAUUAUUUGUCCUUCUCAUAGAAGCAGGAACGAAAGGCGUAUGUUCAACAUCAUUUUGGACCCAUUUUCUGUGGCGGGAAACCAAGGUAAACACAUUUCUUCUGAUGUAAUUGUUGAUACUAGUUCAGUUCAUGUGAUGCAGGCGUAGCUGUGUGAACCAUUUCGUUUGGACCUGUUCUCAGCUGGAGUUGG
rnacentral:lncRNA from 1 species